CAUCGCUGAUGCACUGGUCGAUGCUGGGGGAAUGAUAAAGUCUCUGGAGCUGGGCCGAGGUGCGUCUCAGGGCUCCGCUCAUGAAGCCGCAAUCUCCUCCAGAGGCUGGAAGUGCAUCUCCUCUUUGGGAAUCCUACCAGAUUGUACACGGGCAGUUCUGUCAGUUCUUUGAUAAUCAACACAUAACAUUGAUGGUGUUGUUUGGGCAAUCUUUAUCAGGGCAUGACACUGUUUUUUAUUGCACAUCUUUAGAAGGGAUAAAAAUAUUUCCUGUACACUCUACACUUACAGUCAAAAGUACAGAAUCUAAAAAAAGACAGGUUAUAUUAGAGGUGCUUAAUUCAAAGUUU